CUCACAGCAACACCAGAUCUUUAACCCACUGAGAAAGGCCAGGGAUCGAAACCACAACCUCAUUGUUCCUAGUUGGAUUUGUUUCUGCUGUGCCAUGAUGGGAACUCCUAACAUAGAAAUUUUGGGGGACACAACUCAGUCCAUAACAGAGGGUGUCUUUAUCUUUUUCUUGACUUUAAAGGGAAUACUUUUACCAUGGGAAAUUUUGUUUGCUCUUGGUCUUUAGUCUUUAGAUGUAUUUUAUCAAGGUAAGCAAGGUUCCUUUUAUUCCUAGUUUGGUAAGAGGGUUUUUGUUGUUGUUAAAUCAUGACUGCAUAUUGGAUUUUAUCAAAUGCUCUUUAUGCAUCUAUCGAAAUGAUUAUAUGUAUGGUUUUUCUCCUUUAAUCUAUUAACAUGAUAAAUACAUUUCAUAGAUUUUAUAGAGUUUAUCAUUGCACUUCUGGUAUUAACCCAACUUGGUCAAGAUGUACAAAUGACCCCCCCCCUUUUUUUUUGGCCAUACCUGUUGCAUAUGGAAGUUCCAGGCCAGGGAUUGAAUCCAGGCUGUACUGCAACCUAUGCCACAGCUACAACAAUGCCAAAUCCUAAACCCAGUGCUCUGGGCUGGGGAUGGAACCAGCAAGUCCACAGAGACAAGCUGUGCCACAACAGGAACUCCACAAUUGACCCUUGAACAACAUGGAUUUGAAUUGCACAGAUCCUCUUAUACACAGAUAUUUUUUCGAUAAAUGUGUACUACAGAACUACAUGAUCCAAGGUUGAUUGAAUACAUGGAUGUGUAAUGUAGAUACACAGUGCUGACCAUAAGGUUAUACACAGACUUUUAUUUCUUGACUGAGGAGUGAUGCCCCAACCCCCAAGUUGCCCAAAGAUCAACUAUAUUAUCGUUUCUAUGGGCUUGUUGUGUUAAACGAUUUGUGUAAGACUUUUGCAUUUAAGUCUGAAUGGCUUAUAAUAGCCUUUUCACAUGUUCUACUUGUCUGACUUGAUCGGGAGUUUAUAUUUCUUAGAAUGGAUUGGGGAAGUGUAUCCUCUUUUUCUAUUCUCUGGAAGAGGAAUCGUAGUAUAGUGGUAAAGGACAUGGAUUCCUAAGGUGUUGAACUGUGUGUUGGUGAGUCAUGUAGUUGUCAUUCCCAGGUACUGUGAGAAUAACUUGGUGAUGAGGCCAGUGGGCCUAUAAUACCCAAACUCAAGUUCCUUUUUAGAAAUACCUAAAUGAUAAGGUCUAUUAAGUUGAAAGCUAGAAAAAAUAAUAUGCUUAAGCCUUUAACAGGUGCUACUUACUGUUGAAUGAUAUUACUAGCUAUGACCCCAAAGUCCUAAAUUUUCUCAGUGUUUCCUCUUUAAUCAUAAAUUUAGGAGAUUAUACAUCUUAGGACUGUCAGUAUCAAACUGUAGACAUGAUUCAAUAUCUUUAUAAAAUAACUAUGGAAUGUUAAAAUACUUAUUGUAACAACUGGAUGCCCUCAGGAUACACUUUCUUCCCAGGGAGCCAGAUGGGAUGUAAAGAAGAAUUUCAGAGAUACAAAUAAAAGAAAAAGCCCCACAGAUAUGUAUAUGGAUUUCCUUUGUGUGUACUCCGUAUUUCUCCAGCUGUCUAAGAGAAACCAAAACUUUGUUGGCAAGACUUAAAGCUUCAGUACCAAAUAGAUAUUGGGGACAAUAUUGCAAGGUAAUUUACUAGUGUUCCAGUGCUUUAUUUUCACGAUGCCUCUGUUCCUCUGUUUUACCUCAGAAGGUGACAAAUGCAAUAGCAAGGGGAAACCCCACUUCUCUGCUGGCAGGAACAGAUGUUGCAGUGUUCAGAGCUGUAACUGGCUAUGUUUUUUUUUCCAGGUUCUUCCAUAAUUUUGAAUGAUGCUCAAAGGGAAGCUGCCCUAGAAAGAUGACAUUUUGAAACUCAAGGAUUCCAAAUGGAAAGGGGGAUGUUUGAGAAAGGACAAAGAAGGAACUGGGCAUCUAUGUUGAACUGACUUGGAGAAAGAAGUGUGAAGAAAUCUCUGAGAGGGACCAAGCAAGAAGGCAUUGGAGGGGAUUCCCAGGAAAGAACCCUGAAAUGCUCAGGGAUUUGUGCCUGAACCAGUGACAAAGUCAGCAGAGUGAACUGAGGGCAACACUUCACCUUGAAGAGGAGAUUAAAGAAAAGGACGCCGAAUUGGUCAUUGAAGGCAGAGAAGAGGAAGAACAGACCUGUCAGCUGCUGGGCAAAUUUGAUUUGAAUGGUUAUGUAGAUGCUAAAAACCAUUUGCUUGUUAUUAGAGGACUGUUUCCUGUUCACUCCAGGACCAUCCCAGCUAAUGAGUCUAUUUUGGAGCCAGUAUCAGCAAAAUGUGAAGGGUAAGCCAUUCUUUUUGUCUUCUUUUUACAUCACUUGUAAGAGAUAGGGGUGAAGGAGUGGUGGAUGUGGGAGUCAAAGUCUGGAAAUUUGAGCCAUGAUGCCAACCCUGACUCUGACACUAUUUAUUUGACUCAGGAUAGGUACUUCCUGUUCCUAUGCCUCCAUCUGUCCAGGGUAGACAUUCUAGGAUUGCUUAGAAACAAGAAAAAAACACAUGUUUUGUAUGGUACAGAACAUUGCUUCUCUGAAGGUGGUCUGUAGACCAGCAGCAUCAGCAUCACCUAAAACCUUGUUAUGCAUAAUCUCAGGCUGCAUCCUACAUCUGCUGAAUCAGAAUCUGCAUUUUGACAAGACCUCCUGAUGAUUAAUGAACACAUUAAGAUUUGAGAAGCACUGAUGCAGAAUGGUGCAGUGUUGCAGCUUUACCGUGAAUUGUUAUUAGACUAAAGGCUCCUCAGGUGAAAAUACACAGUGUCGGAAUGCUGAUUUAUUUAUGAGCUAGUGUUCAUAGCAGGAUUCUUCCUUUAGUUGGCAGGCUUCUGCCCUACUCCCCUCAUCUAAAAUUGUCAUGUCAAGAAAUGCGAUCCAUGAUUGAUAAUCUAAAUUUUCUAAGAAUUCAUUGUAAGAAAGGCAAGCAUGGGUUACAUUUCAGAGGGUGAAACACACUUUUGAUAUGAAAAGAAUGCCAGAAAUUAAGGGAAAAUAACCAUCCACAAUGUUCUUAUUACCAUAACAAAGCAGCUCUUUCCUUUUCAUUUCCCUGUAUUCUUUCUCAGCCUAUUAUAUAAAGGCAACCAUAAUUUUUGCAUGGCUGUGACCACAGUGUGGACACAGUUUUAUACUGGGCAUUUUACAUCAUAUCUUAAUCACUUCCAUGACGCUGCAUGAUAAUUAUAAUUAUAAAUGCAUCUUUACUGAUGACACUUCCUUUCCUUUGGUCACAUUUCAUGCUACACAAUUGAAAUAUCUCUAGAGGAAUAUAUAUACUGUAAUAUUGUUGGCAAAAGGAAAGGAUUGUAAUCAAUCCCUACUUAACUUUUUCCUGGAACUUCUAAUUCUUUUCCAUUCUUACAGUGAAAUAAAGGGAAGAGGGAAAGAUUCGCUUUUGUUCAUGGCUAUAUUAUUUAGAGUCAGUUCCUUAUUUAUCAAUGAUAUUUUCACUUAUUUAAUCUGACGAAAACCGGAAUUUGUCGUAAUAUUGUACACUUAUAUUUCAUCAGUGGUAUCACUUAAUUGAUUAUUCACCCUUCAUUGGAGCUUCUGAAGGUUAUCUUCCCAGCAAGGUAAAAUGGAAAAGCCAAUAUACAUAUUUUUAGUAAAAAUUCACCCCCUCAAUUAAAAAAUAGUUUGGCAUUUCCACUGUGAUUGACACAGUGGUAAGACAUAUGUCCCAUUUAAAAAUUCACUGUAUCAGGGAUAUUUCAAUUUCCCUCUCUAGUUCACCUGUUCUUAUUUAAUUUUCAGAGUGGUCUGAUAGUUGCUUUAUAUGUUCAGUCCAGGGAACUUGAGUGUAAUCAGUGGAAGAGAGAGGGUGGGGUAUGCUUACUGCAUCUGAACUUCAACCUGAAGUCUAAGGAUCCUUGACAGGAUUGUUUCAGCAUCUUUUGACUACCAGUGUUGCUACGGAGAAGUCUGAUGACAUUCUGAUUUUUCAUUUUUUGUGAAUCUUGUUUCAUGUAGUCCAGGGCAUCUAAAAAGCAAGUUCCUUGUCCUGAAUGUGAUCAGUAAUGUAAAGCAUCAUUGUGGGGAUUUUGCUUGUCUCCCAGCCUGUUGACUGGAACCCAAAUUUCUUUUCCUUUCGUCAUACAAGGCUAAAACUUUCACAGCACUUGAAUCCAUCCUAAACAUACCUAUAUGUUGGAUACUAAGAACAUUCCAUGAUUACAUUUUGGAUAUAUUUUCUUCAACAUUAAAACUAUAUAAUUCAUUUUCACCAAUAGCGAUCAGCAGUUUCAUUCUAUCUGUACCCAAUCCUGAUGUUCUCCAAACCUCUCUCUCUCUCUCUCUUUUUUUUUUU